GCAUAUCAAUAAGCGGAGGAAAAGAAACCAACAGGGAUUGCUCUAGUAACGGCGAGUGAAGCAGCAAUAGCUCAAAUUUGAAAUCUGGCGUCUUCGACGUCCGAGUUGUAAUUUGUAGAGGAUGCUUCUGAGUAACCACCGACCUAAGUUCCUUGGAACAGGACGUCAUAGAGGGUGAGAAUCCCGUAUGCGGUCGGAAAGGUGCUCUAUACGUAGCUCCUUCGACGAGUCGAGUUGUUUGGGAAUGCAGCUCUAAAUGGGAGGUAAAUUUCUUCUAAAGCUAAAUAUUGGCCAGAGACCGAUAGCGCACAAGUAGAGUGAUCGAAAGAUGAAAAGCACUUUGGAAAGAGAGUUAAAAAGCACGUGAAAUUGUUAAAAGGGAAGGGAUUGCAACCAGACUUGCUCGCGGUGUUCCGCCGGUCUUCUGACCGGUCUACUCGCCGCGUUGCAGGCCAGCAUCGUCUGGUGCCGCUGGAUAAGACUUGAGGAAUGUAGCUCCCUCGGGAGUGUUAUAGCCUCUUGUGAUGCAGCGAGCGCCGGGCGAGGUCCGCGCUUCGGCUAGGAUGCUGGCGUAAUGGUCGUAAUCCGCCCGUCUUGAAACAGGACC
rnacentral:rRNA from 1 species